rnacentral:rRNA from 1 species
CCAAAAAAGCUUGGUGGACUAGGUUUCUAUGAUUUUUCACUCUUCAACCAAGCUAUGCUUGGUAGACAAUGUUGGAGGCUUCUUACUGAGCCAGAUUCUCUUUGUGCUCGGGUUCUCAAAGGACGCUAUUUUCCUUCCUGUGAUUUUUGGAAUGCGCCCAAGCCUAGAUCGUCAUCCUAUACAUGGAGAAGUAUUCUCUAUGGCUGA